GUAUUACAGAGUCAGUUUUUAAAAAAUGUUUCUGUGAGUAAAUUUUCUUGGCCAAAAGGAUAAGUUAUAUUACUGGGCAAACAUUCAGAGUCUUCCUUCUCUUUGUCAAUUAGCAUUGCUUUGGAUUUUUCUGUGACCACGUCCGUGCCAGCUAGAUUUCUUCCCCAUUCAUAAUUCUACUUUGGAGUGAAGGAAGGGGAAAUGGUGCUGCUUAUAUCUACAGAGAAGGAAAUGAUACCUGUGGAAAGACCUAAUUAAAAAACACAUCGUAUAGCAGAAAACCUAGAUGAUCUUGGGUGUGGGGAGGACUUUUUAGAUAUGACACCAGAGGCAUGAUCUAUUAAAGAAAUAAUUGAUAAGCUGGACUUCACUAAAAAUUUCUGCUCUACAAAAGACAGUGUGAAGAAAAUGAGAAGACAAUCCACACAUUGGGAGAAAGUAUUUGUAAAAGACACAUCUGAGGACUGUUAUCCAAAGUAUACAAAGAACUCUUAAAACUCAACAAUAAGAAAACAAACAACCUAAUUAAAAAAUGGGCCAAAGACCUUAAUUGACACCUCACCUAAGAAGAUAUACAGAUGGCAAAUAAGCAUAUAAAAAGAUGCUCCUCCUCAUCAGGAAAAUACAAAUUAAAACAACAAUGGUCUACCACUACUCUCUUCUUAAAAUGGCCAAAAUCAGGAACACUGACCACACCAAAUGCUAAUAAGAAUGCAGAACAGAAACACUCAUUCAUUGCUGGUGGGAAUGAGAAAUGGUACAGCCAUUUUGGAAGAUAGUUUAGCAGUUUUCUAUAAAACUAAACAUAUCUUCCCAUACAAGCCAGCAAUCGUACUCCUUGAUAUUUUCCCAAAGAGUUGAAAAUUUAUGUCCACAGAAAAACCAGCACAUGGAUAUUUAUAGCAGCUUUAUAAUUGCCAAAACUUGGAAGCCACCAUUGGCAAGCUAUCUAUUCAGUAGGUGAAUGGAUAAAUAAACUGUGGUACACCCAGACAAUGGAAUAUUAUUCAGUGUGAAAAAGAAAUGAGCUAUGGGGCCAUGAAAAGGAGGAACCUGAAAUACAUAUUACUAAGUGAAAAAAGCCAAUCUGAAAAGGCUACAUACUCUAUGAUUCCAACUCUAUGACAUUCUGAAAUGCAAACUAUGGAGACUAUAAAAAGAUUAGUGGUUUGCAGGGGUUGGGAUUGGAGGGGAUGGAUAACUAGGUGGAGUAACAGAAAUUUUUAGGGCAGUGAAAAUACUCCGUAUAAUAUAAUAGUGAUGGACACGUCAUUUACAUUUCUCCAAACCCAUAGACUAUACAACACAAAGAGUGAAUCUUAAGUUUUCAAACAUGACUAGGACCAGACUGCCUCUUUGCUUAUGAAUGUCCCUCUCCUGGUUGAGGAGACUGCUUAAUGGCGCAGGCUGGAGAUCAUACCCAGCUCUACACUAACUCAGCAACUCAAAAGCCAAGCAAGAGGAAUCCUGGGCCGAUCUCUCCUCACUCCAUGCAAAUCUGCUUUGGCUCAGCUGGGUGUCCAGUGGGCUGAGUCAUGUAAUUACACCAUGGGAAACAGAAGACGGGACUGCGCUUACAUGCUACCAACUGAUCCCAUAAGCUCCAUUAUUUAUUUUAAUAAAACAUGGUUGUGCUUG
rnacentral:lncRNA from 1 species